GGAGUUGGGUGUCUGGGAAGGACAUGUGUGCCAGCGCAAGCUACCGGGAAAGCGACAAGACUGAGGGGGCGGGGGAGGACGAGACAGCUCAAGUGCUUGGUGGGUUGGUGCGUGCUGUUUGCCCGCGGAUGGGAGAAGGGGGGCUUGGGCGCUGUGUGCAGUUGUCCUGCUUUCCUCUCUCUCACUGGUCUGCGAGCACGCGCACACUCGCUCCCGCCCCACAGCCCCUCCCAUACACAAAUACACACACAGACAUAUAGACACUUCCCUGCCUCUUCUUCUUGCGGUGGGCUUGGCGGCCUUGGAGGCGAGGGCGGGCUCACGCCGCCGCCGCCGCGCUCCCGGGCGGAUGGUCGCGGGCUGCGCCCCGGGGUGGGGGAGGGGUGGUCCUGCGCUGCUGCCGCCGCCGCCGCCGCGCGCUCCUCCUCCUCCCCCUCCCCACACCGUUCCGAGGCCCGGGCGGUUCUGCCCAAUGAGGAGCGGCGUUGCUGGCAGGUGGGGAGUGUUUUUGUUUUGGGUUGAAGUUGAGGCGGAGGAGAGAGAAGAGCUAGCGACAAGCAGUCGUCGCCACCGCCGCGGGAGGCGGAGGAGGCCCUGCGGGAUUCAAGAGGUCUCCCCUCCCCGCCGACGGCUCUUGCCCGCCGUUCCUCUGCCUCCUCCCGGUGCCGGAACUCCCGGGCCUGCCCCGGGCCCCCAGUCUUUGCCCUCCACACGCCGCAGCGCCCGGCCCCGGCCGCACCCGCCGGCCCCAUGAGGAGGGACGUGAACGGAGUGACCAAGAGCAGGUUUGAGAUGUUCUCAAAUAGUGAUGAAGCUGUAAUCAAUAAAAAACUUCCCAAAGAACUCCUAUUACGAUUUACUGAAAAGAUGCAGAAAUAGUUCACAGAAUUUCCAUAAACCUUUUACUUGGAUUCCCCAAAUUUUACCUCACUUGUGUUAUCAUUUUCUCUAUUUUUUUUCUGAACCAUUCAAGGAUAUUUUCUUUUCUGGAUGUUGUUACCUUGUGUCGCUGUGCUCAAGUCUCCAGGGCCUGGAAUGUUCUGGCUCUGGAUGGCAGUAACUGGCAGCGAAUUGACCUGUUUGAUUUCCAGAGAGAUAUUGAGGGCCGAGUGGUGGAGAAUAUUUCAAAAAGAUGUGGGGGCUUUUUACGGAAGUUAAGUCUUCGUGGGUGUCUCGGAGUAGGAGACAAUGCAUUAAGGACCUUUGCACAAAACUGUAGGAACAUUGAAGUGCUAAAUUUAAAUGGAUGCACAAAGACUACAGAUGCUACAUGUACCAGUCUUAGCAAGUUCUGUUCCAAACUCAGGCACCUUGACUUGGCUUCCUGUACAUCGAUAACAAACAUGUCUCUAAAAGCUCUGAGUGAGGGAUGUCCACUGUUGGAGCAAUUAAACAUUUCCUGGUGUGACCAAGUAACCAAGGAUGGUAUCCAGGCACUAGUGAGAGGCUGUGGCGGUCUCAAAGCCUUGUUCUUAAAAGGCUGCACACAGCUAGAAGAUGAAGCUCUCAAGUACAUAGGUGCACACUGUCCUGAACUGGUGACUUUGAACUUGCAAACUUGCUUACAAAUCACAGAUGAAGGUCUCAUUACUAUAUGCAGAGGGUGCCAUAAGUUACAGUCCCUCUGUGCCUCUGGCUGCUCCAACAUCACAGAUGCCAUCCUGAAUGCCCUAGGUCAGAACUGUCCACGGCUUAGGUAAACAUUUCUUGUUUAUCUCAAAAAAUCAGGGGAAAGGAACAGAGGUCUCCUUCACUCUUGGAACCUUGAAAUUUUUAGGGUAGACGCUACAAAGCCACUAUGACCCUUUCUCACCUACUUGCUUUGUACCUCAUUUUUUUUUUUUUUUCUUUUAGGGUGGCACCCUCAGCAUAUGGAAGUUCCCAGACUAGGGGUCAAAUCAGAGCUGUAGCUGCCGUCCUAUACCACAACCACAGCAAUGCUGGAUCUGAGCUGAGUCUGCGACCUACACCACAGCUCACGGCAAGGCCAGAUCCCCAACCCACGGAGCAAGGCCAGGGAUCCAACCCACAUCCUCAUGGGUACUAGUCGGAUUCGUUUCUGCUGAGACACAACGGGAACUCCAUGCUUUGCACAUCAUUUGAUUAUGUAAUUACAUAAUGGGCCUGAACCAUACUAAAAAAAUAAAAAUAAAAUAUAAAUAAAAGUAAAAAGAUCAACCUUUUACUUCAUUACUUGAGAAAAGAAAUAAAAGCACUUUCUCUUAUCAAAGCUUUCAUGUAAUUCCUUUCUGAAGAAAGUUUUUAAAGGCCCAUCCUGUGGUCGUUUUUAUUGUAAUGUGCCAGGUACAUAGCAGGUAGUAUUUAAGGAGGAGAAAACAGCCGCCUCCUUUCUGCUGAUAGCCUUUUAAAGCAAGCUUUAUUUCUCUGUGGCUCCUCUUUACCUACAUAUAGGAUUGGGUGAGUAUUUAUUAUUAAGAAUGCUGUGUUUGCAUACAUAUGGUUUCAAGCCCAUAUUGAUUCUGUCAGAAUAGAUAUCACAGUAUUUUGCAAUAAAUAGGAAUGAUUCCCCAUAUACCUUUUGUUUUAAAAACAAAACUUAUAUUGUACUUAAUAUAUAUAAACAUAUCAGCCAUUGUUUUAAAUGAUUCGCAAACAUUAAUUCACUUAAUUCUCAUAACACCAUAAAGCACUAUUAUUAUCUCUAUAUUGUAGAUGAGAAAACCAGACCACAAGUAGGUCACGUAAGCUGUUCAAGGUCUCGCAGUAAGUGUCAGAGCAGGAGUGUGAGCUCAGGCAGCCUAGCUUUAGAACCUAUGAAACCGCUUGUCUUCCAUGUAAUAAUUGUUGGAAUUCCCGUUGUGGCUCAGUGGGUUAAGGACCCAGUGUUGUCUCUCUGAGGAUGUGGGUUCAAUCCCUGGCCUUGAUCAAUGGUUUAAGAAACCACUGUUGCCACAGGCUGUGACAUAGGUUGCAGAAAAGCUCAGAUCGGAUGUUGCUGUGGCUUCGGCAUGGGCCUCAGCUGCAGCUCUGAUUCGACCCCUGGCCCAGGAACUUCCAUAUACUGCAGGUUCAGAUGUUUAAAAAAAUGUGUUAUUGUCAGUAAUAUUAUUAUAAACCAAUAAAAACUUUCUUAAACUUUUUUUGUAAUCACCUGGCCAUAGGCUUCAGUAAUAUCAGAAGCCUAGAGUAGAAUACUAUUCAGGAGCUAAGUCCUCUCUCUAAAAAUAUUACACAUUUCCUUUUGUUUGUUUGUUUUAAAGAGAAGGAUGUUCAGUUCCAUUCUUAUUCAUGGUUUAGUUUAAGAAAUUGGUCAUGCUUUCCCAUUAGAUAGAGCUUUCUAAUUAAUUGUCAGCUGAUAAUAAUGUCUUAUGCUUUAUUUUUUUUUCAGAUUCUGUAGUAAGUAAUUUUUAAGCAAACAUAAUGUUCUUUAGUACUGUCAUGCAGACACCACCAAACUUUUCACAGAGAAGAGCUGCUACUUUUGAUUCCUCUGAUUCCCCAACCCUGUGGUCUGUAUUUAGGGUGCUGGUUAGCAGUUCAUGAAUAGGCAAGUGCCUGCCAGCCCAGCUCCCCCUCUCUGCUGGGCCUCCCUGGGAGCAUGUGGAAGGAGGCAGGAAGCUUACUUAAGGAUUUUUUUUCAUAAGUUUGAAAUUUCAUGUUUGGGACAGGCCUGUAAUUAAUCAGUCCCUUCCUAGCAUUUUUAUUUAUUUAUUUUCUUUUUAGGGCCACACUCUUGGCAUAUGGAGGUUCCCGGGCUGGGUUGAAUCAGAGCUGUAGCACAGCCACAGCAACAUAGGAUCCAAACUGUGUCUUCAACCUACACCACAGCUCAUGGCAACACCGGAUCCUUAACCUAGUGAGCGAAGCCAGGGAUCAAACCUGCGUCCUCAUGGAUUACUAGUCAGAUUCAUUUCCACUGAACCAUGAUGGGAACUCCCACUUUCUAGCAUUUUUAAAAGCUGUUUGAAUCUGAGUGAACCUACAUGUAAAAUCGGGAAAGAGAAUAAAUUACUUUAGCAACAGAUUAACUGAAACAGAGUAUUUAUCUCCAUUUCCUUUGUUUUCUAGGAGCAGGCUGCCCUCUGGGGGUAAGCAGUGUGCCAUCAAGAAGGCUUUUAAAUGUGUUUCUUGUGCAUUUUGGCAUUAACUACAAGCCUCUAUUAUAUACUUUGAUUUCAUCACCCUAAAAUGUGGUAUUUACAGGACUGCUUUAUGAGGACUCCAUGGACAAGAUCUAUAUACAGACUUGCUCAGCUCUGAAUGUCACUCUUUGUUAUAUAGUCCUUAGGGAAUAGGAGGUUGUUUUCUUAAAUCCUCGCUAUUUUAAUAAACCUAGUUCAGGGACCAAGGGAUUGACUUUGACUUUGUUUUUUUAACAGAAUAUUAGAAGUGGCAAGGUGUUCUCAAUUAACAGAUGUAGGCUUUACCACUCUGGCCAGGAAUUGCCAUGAGCUUGAAAAGAUGGACCUGGAAGAGUGCGUUCAGAUAACAGAUAGCACACUAAUCCAACUUUCUAUACACUGUCCUCGACUUCAAGUAUUGAGUCUGUCUCACUGUGAGCUGAUCACAGACGAUGGAAUUCGUCACCUGGGGAAUGGGGCCUGCGCCCAUGACCAGCUGGAGGUUAUUGAACUGGACAACUGCCCCCUAAUCACAGAUGCAUCCCUGGAGCACUUGAAGAGCUGUCACAGCCUUGAGCGGAUAGAACUCUAUGACUGCCAGCAAAUCACACGGGCUGGAAUCAAGAGACUCAGGACCCAUUUACCCAAUAUCAAAGUCCACGCCUACUUCGCACCUGUCACUCCACCCCCAUCAGUAGGGGGCAGCAGACAGCGCUUCUGCAGAUGCUGCAUCAUCCUAUGACAAUGGAGGUGGUCAGCCUUGGUGAACUGAGUAUUUAAUGACACUUCUAGAGUUACCGUGGAUCUCCAUUGGAAACGACCCCAGCGUUCCGGGCAAGGGUUUCAAAGUGAGGGCAGCGUCCAGAUCUCCAGAGCCACACAUACAUACACGUACCCACCCUAACCCCCCGCCCACUCUGUCUCUGUGACCAGGGGACUGAGUCCGUGCUGGCUUUAUCACAUGGGUUGGUAAAACUUAACCAUUCCUGUUGGAUGUGCCCAGAAGAAGAUCAUAAGCAAGGUAGACGGAAGGGGGCAUUCCACCAAACCCAGUGUUACUGCUACUGUGGUUUCUUUAUUUUGUUAAGGGGUUUCUUUGGCAGUUUUGGAACGGCAACUGCAGUCCUCCAGGGUCAAGGAAAGCAUAGAAAAACAAUACAUGUUGUAUCCAGGGACCAGAGGGAAGUUUUCUUUGCAUCCUAUAAAUGGUGGCCAUCCAUUAUGCGAUGACUGCAGAGCUUCUGUGCUUCCUUGUCCCCAUACCCACAUGCUGAGCAUGCUCACAAAGAGGCCUGUCCAUUCCUCCUCCUGUGUUUUCGAAUUGGGCCCAGAGGUUUCCUAAAUGGUUGCACCGAAAUCGCUGUGGUCCAGAUGUGAUUACGUAUUCACUCAAGUUGUCGCUCUCUGUAGCACACUGUGUACCUCCCUGUCUCAUCCUCCGUCGCUCCCUCCUGCACUCUUGCUUAGUCUGUCAUCUGUUCAUGGUCGGCUUACUCACACUCAAUUGUUACUCCUUUGCUGUUGUUGUGUUUACAGUUUGCCUUUUGGAUGAUUAGUUGGGGUUACCAAACAUUUUUAAAAGAGACAUUAUCAAUAAAUAUUUUUUUAAUUCUAAAUUUUAUCAUUAGGGGACCCUGCCUGAAUCUUUGCCAGUCUGAAGGGAAACUAUAACAAAAGCAAGAAAAGUUAUGAGGAGAAACUAAGCUAAAGCUAUUAUGAUGAAAACAAACUUUCCCUUUUGGUUUCUGUUAUAUCUUGUGAUAAAAUGAUAAUACGCAUGAUACGCUCAGUAUUCCCCCUGCCCGUUUUUCCUCCUAUCUGACUUAAUAAGGAGAGAGAAAUGCUUUAUUAGUAAAGCGUGGCAUGGCAGAUCCCAAAACUGAACCUGAAAGCCACCGCCACCCAAGCACAGACAUGGUGUGUGUUCACUGAAAUCUAGGUGUCAUCAGUGGCCUCUCAGAUACUGUGUCUGUGAGGUUCGUUCUGCUUUAGCAGGAAUGCUGCUGGAGGAGUUGUGCUGUCGAGCCAGGCAGUUUCUCUUCUUUCCCCCCAUUUGAACCCUUCAGGGAUACAAGAAUGACCUCAUCACAGCUGGUCAGCUGUAUGUCAGUGUUGAUGGUAUCAUAUCUAACGUUGGCGCCUCAAAGGACCAGAACCUUUUCAGAACCCGUCAGCCAUGUCUCUCUCAUGCUCCAGACUUUCUGUGCAUGAAACUCUGGAGUGGCCAGAUGAGGGCAUUGGGGCAGCAGAAAGAGAACGUUGAGAGGAAGUAGGGGGUUCAGUGUCUUUGCCUAGCCUGGUCCCCAGAGCCAAGGGCAGGGUGUUCAGUAUCCAUGACUCAGAGUCAAAGAAGAAGCUCCCCCUCCCACCCCCCACCCCCCGCCAGAAAGGAAAAAAAAUUUAAAUCAUGGAGGAUGAGGAAAAUAAAAUGAGUUUCUAAAGUACAAGAAGUAGAUUUCUAAACAUCAAGGUUAGAAACCUCGUGUGCUUUAUAAUAGGGUGACCAUGUGCAGUCUGCCGUCAUCUUCCGUAUGAUCCAGGCUGUUAAAAGGCUUGUUUCAAUACUGUAGAUGCUGGUUCUGCCAGCAUAUAUAAGAAAAAAGUGUGAUGUAUUUUUCCACAAGCAAUCGGUUGAAAUGUCCUGGGAAUCUAUCUACCAUCAUUUAGCAUGUAAAAUUUAUUUUAAAUCCUGUUUUUUUAUUGAUGGCCUUUCAAAAGCUCAAACUAUGCGUAUUUUUCAUUUCCCUGCCCUUCUCUUAUCCUCUUUUCAAAUUACCAUAUAAGGAAUAUACUUUUUAAAGUGAGACCCACUCUCCUGGCUGUGAGACCCACAUAUACAAGUAUACACAUGUACGCACACACUUCCAGAUGUGGUUGAUAAUAUUCAGAUCCCGGAGUUCCCAUUGUGGCUCAGCGGAAACGAAUCCGAUUAGUGUCCAUGAGGACGCAGGUUCAAUCCCUGGCCUCGCUCAGUGGGUUAUGGAUCCCUCCUUGCUAUGGCUGUGGCAUAGGCCAGCAGCUAUAGCUCUGGUUCAACCCCUAGCCCAGGAACCUCCAUAUGCCUCGAGUGCGGCCCUAAAAAGAUAAAAAAAGAAAAAAAGAAUAUUCAGAUUCCCCAGGUCUCUCGUUCAAACAAAACUAAAAAGAGAAAUAUUUAGGAGGCAGCCACUCUAACAAGUUUAAAAAAAAAAAAAAAAAUAGUGCCUGAACAAGACUCUGAUUUAUUAGUGAGUGUGGAUUUGAAUUUCCCAGGAGUUGAGGCACCAGUAUGUGACCAUCUUGAGAGAAAUGCUGUUUCUCUUGAAGAGUGAGAUGCAAUCCGUGUGGACUCAUGCAGGUGAUCCCUGCCUAUCUGGGCCAAGAAUAGCGUCAAGUUAGGGGAUAAAGGCCCUGGAGUGCGCAGGCCUGACAUGUAUGGGUCAGGCAGGAGCCUUGUUCCUUUCUCAAGAAAAUUAUAGGCCCUUCGUGCUUGGAAGACCAUAUUUUUUUUUAUACCAAUCUGAAUCCUAGGUCAGCUGAUGCAGUGUACCAGGACUCUGAGAACCCAAAGCAUGGUAAGUUUUGGUCAGGUGGAAAGGGUAAUAAGAAGGUGUCCUCAGAGUUAUACAUCCAGAUUCUCUCUUUUCUAAGCAGCCUUUUCCCCUUACAUUUUCCAGCAUCAUUAGUAUCUUUUAUAUCCUCUUCAUUAGCUCCCAUCAAAGUGAUGAUUCCAACUUUUUUUUUUUUUUUGACUUCUCCCAUUUCCUUCCUAUCGUCCUUGCCCUUGAUUUAAAGCUUCUGUCUCUCUCUUAAUGAUACUGCUAAUUUAUUCUCAUGUUUCUAGUCUAGCUUCCUCUCGGAUCCUUGUCCUGCUCUGGGCAGCCUUGAAUUCAGUAACAAUCACGCGGCUCAGGCCAUUUUUCACUGGGUGAUCUUGGAUGUUUGCUGACUGAAUUUGAAAUCAAACUGUUAGAGGUGAAGAGUAAGGGAAUCUGGCUUCAUCCUUUUUUCCAAUAUUUGGAAUAUGAAAGCACAUUGUGCUUUAUGUAAAAAAAAAAAUGUGUUCUUCUAUUCUGCUCAUUAGUGGAUAUAAAAGUAUUUCUUAAGUGGUUUUUAUAAAUUUCCACGUUGAUUAAAUUGAUUAACAGAUGUAUAAGUCAAAAACUUUUCUUAUUCCUUAUAUCACAUUUUAGAGGGAAGCCUGAUAAAUAUUUUUAUGAUGCUUUAUUUUGGGCUUUGCAAACUGAAGAGUUCGAUAUAGCUCUACUGCGAUAGCAGUCGGGUUCUUUUAUGUCUUCAAUCUGCCUUGUAAAAUGCAUUGUUACUGGUUUGAUGACCCACUAUGCUGUGGGGCGGGGUGGUAAACACAGUGGGAGUUGAAAGCUGUUUUGGCUUGACGUUGUUAAGAAGUGCGCGAGUGUCCCUGGAAAGGAGAGGUGGUUUCCUGCCUGCCCAUGGGCAGCAUGUCCUUGGGUGACUGUGCUGUUCGGAAGGAGAGGAACACUUGCUAACAUGGUUGACCCUUGGCCAUUUGAUGUUUAUCAUGCGGAAAGAUUGCUCGUGGCACCUGCCACCAGUGAGAGAGGAGGGGUUUAAAGAAAAUUGGUCAGCUCUGCCUUUUCCCUCCUUGUGUGCAUGGUUUCCGGUUAGGUUUGUGCAUUCUGACCGACAGACUCUUUCGGUGGUAUGCUUUGAGCUUCCAGAACAUUUUAUAAAAAGAUUGCCUUCUCUUUCUGUCCACCUGUUCUAGGAUCUUUAACCACCUCAAACCCAGGCAAUGUAAGGAGAUGUGUAGGAUGUUUAAUUGGGGGUCUUGAGGCAGAACCUUCUCCCUUGCAACGAUCUCAAGCCAAAAAGAACCCAAACGCUAUAGGAGGGUGAAGGGAAUUAAGAGUCUCAGCCUCUCCUCACCUUUAUUUCUAUGAUAAAUUUUAAUUUCAAGAUUAAAAGGUAACAGAAAGCUGAGUAAGACCAUGUCAACAGGGCAGAAUUAACCUAGGUAAUUUGGGAAUAAAAUGUGGCUUGUAUUUGCUGUAUCCAGAUGCCCUAACUUAAUAUCUCAGUUCUCCAGCCAAGAACUUGCUGCUCUAACCUUGCUCUCUUACUUGAGACAAACUUUCUACCUUCCAGAAACUACCAUUGGAGGCAAAUGAGUUUUCUGCAGCUCCCCCCCUCCCAAGUCUACCUGUUUUGCCCAUUUUUAUUCUUAGGAACAUCAGUUCCGCAUCUCUGAAGCCUUUGAUCCUCAGGAAAGUCAGUAAAAACUUCUCAGCUGAGUCUGAGUGAAUCUUUAGAGCCCAAAAGAGUUAUACUUAAUUUUCAACAAAAAAAAAGAAAAAUUGUUGGACAAGCUCACAUAAUGUGUCAAGUUCUGUAAUGCAUUUCUUCCAUCUCUGCCUCAUGUGUCUUUUUUUUUUCUUUGUCUUUUGAAGGCUGCACCCACGGCAUAUGGAGGUUCCCAGGCUAGGGGUCAAAUCGGAGCUGUAGCUGCUGGCCUACAUCACAGCCACAGCAAGGCCAGACCUGAGCCACCAUAGCUCAGGGCAACGCCAGAUCCUUAACCUGCUGAGCGAGGCCAGGGAUUGAACCUGCGUCCUCAUGGUUACUAGUCAGGUUUCUUUCUGCCGAGCCACUGCAGGAACUCCAGCCUCGCGUGUCUUUUGAGUAAGCCCUUGGUAGAGGUUGGUUCGCAGGCAUUGAGACUCAGUGCUUCCUCAGCCAGGGUGGUUCACUGCUGCCCUUUAGGGAAAAGAACCAUGAACAACCGCAACUGUUACCAAUAGACCUUUUUUUUUUUUUUUUUUUUUUUAAUUUUCUGUGUUUUUCAGUGUCUUAUUUUGAAGGAUUGGGGUGGGGAAGUGGUAGAGGAGAUGCCGAGUAAAGGCGAGAAUCAGUUCUGGAGCUGGGGUACUUGGCUUCAGGUACAAGCAUCUGUCCUGAAUAUGUAAACAACUGCCUCACAUAUGAGAUUUACUUUCCUCUCCAUCUAAUGAACUCCAUGCCCUUCUUACUGGCAAGGAGAGCUUCUGUUUCCACACACCUAACCAGUGUCAUCCAGACGGGUCUUGGCACCACUGAACUCCCACCAGUGCCUCCCAGUGCGUCCCAGAGGCUGCCGGGCGUGGUUUUCACCAAGGUCAGAGCAGGUAGGCUGUAAAUGAGGAAAGCAGAAGAAGGAAGCUUUGCCUCACUAAGUUUUGGCUUGUCUCUGUCCCUUACCCUCCUUGUUCUUAUUAAUUCAAGUCUGUACCACACUGCUGCUCACACAUAUGUGUGUUUCUUACCUUGGCCUAACCGUUCUCAGCCCCUGAAGUCAUGAUUCUAUUUUAUUUUAUUUUUUUUUUUCUUAAUGGCACUAGUGAAUAAGAACCCUACAGUCUUAGAAAAUCCUAACUUGAAAAGGAGUCUCUAACUGGCUUCGGUUGAUGACUUUACCUUUUCCCCAUAAAGACGUGAAUGAUUUUCUUCCUUACUGCUAUGUAAUAGAUCUGUAACAAGUGAAACCUUUGCUGCUACUUUUCUGGGUUUACAUCAGUUUGUUCCUUCCCUUGAGAAUAAUUUAUUACCUGUGCUUCUCCAUGACUGUUAAUUGCUAAUAAGUACAGGAAGAGGUGAGCCUGAGAGUUCUUCUCUUACUCCCCUCCUCACCCUACCCCCAAAUUACACACUAACCUCUAACAUGUGCAAGGUCUUGGGAUGGGGCUCAUCAUAAGAUGUGUUUUGGGGGCGUUUUUGUUUGUUUCUUUCUCACUGUGCUGCAGCUCUCAGCCCUUGAGGAUCUGUGACUACCCCGUGGAAGGGUUACUACAGGGGGAGAGAGGCCUUAAAUGUUCCUUUCUCCAUCCCUGUUUUCUGAUCAUCCUUCAGAUGCCUCCCAUUCUGGCUGCCUCCUUUUUCCUCCCAGGAAUUGUUCCCAGUGGGAAAAUGACCCGCCCUGGUCAUUUCCCCACUGCUCUCCUCACCUCUGCCCACCUUCCAGUGACCCCGAGAGCACGGACCUGAGAAAUGGGACCUGUGCAGAGCUCAGAGCUGUGAGGCCUGCCCCUGCCUGUCAGACUCUGCUUGGGGACAGACAUGGAUGGGUAGAUGGUGCUGUGGGAGAAAUACUUUUAUCUUCCAACCAGGCUGAUUCGCCCUUGCACUGUCCCGCCUCCAUCCCCUCUCCCCUGAGGAGUGGGUAAAUGCAGAGGAUGCUCUGUAAAAUGCAGGCGCCGGGCUCUGAUCCCAAACCUUGCUGUCUCGCCUAAGCCCUGGAGCAAGAGCUUCGGUGUGUGGGAGCUGCUGCUUGCUUGUUUCUCCACCAGGCCUGCCCCGACUCUUAAGCCAGUCCCUGGGGCCAACACAGUCCCCUGUGUAGUGACUUCACACCAGCUUCCAUUAGCUGUCCAAGUGACCUGUGUUUCCACCCAAUACUUUUGGCGCUUGAGGAUUGGGGGGGUGGGGGGGUGGGUAUUUAAAAAUAAAUAAAUCCAAGGUGGCAGUAGAGGAUUCCUUUUGCUUUAAAAUCUUUGGACUAAAAAAAAAAAAGAAAAAAGAAAAAAAUGUUUUUUAUAUAUAAAUAUAUAAAUUGUUAUGUAACUAUUAUUGUUUCCUGUAUGUUCUAAUUUUUGUUUUAUGAUGUAAUUAAAGGAAAUAAGCUGUGAAGACUUUUCAUUUUACUGUGGAAAUAGCCUGACUUGGAGCUGUGAUUUUUUAACUUCCUUGAACUCUUGAAUCUAUAAAGGCUCCAGAGGCUGAAUGAA